rnacentral:rRNA from 1 species
GAUGAACGCUGGCGGCGUGCCUAAUACAUGCAAGUCGAGCGAAUGGAUUAAGAGCUUGCUCUUAUGAAGUUAGCGGCGGACGGGUGAGUAACACGUGGGUAACCUGCCCAUAAGACUGGGAUAACUCCGGGAAACCGGGGCUAAUACCGGAUAACAUUUUGAACCGCAUGGUUCGAAAUUGAAAGGCGGCUUCGGCUGUCACUUAUGGAUGGACCCGCGUCGCAUUAGCUAGUUGGUGAGGUCACGGCUCACCAAGGCAACGAUGCGUAGCCGACCUGAGAGGGUGAUCGGCCACACUGGGACUGGAACACGGCCCAGACUCCUACGGGAGGCAGCAGUAGGGAAUCUUCCGCAAUGGACGAAAGUCUGACGGAGCAACGCCGCGUGAGUGAUGAAGGCUUUCGGGUCGUAAAACUCUGUUGUUAGGGAAGAACAAGUGCUAGUUGAAUAAGCUGGCACCUUGACGGUACCUAACCAGAAAGCCACGGCUAACUACGUGCCAGCCGCCGCCGCGG